AACGGGUCAGCGAAUGUUCAACCU
rnacentral:siRNA from 1 species